AUAAAAGAAUGAGAGUUAUGUCCCGUGAUUUUGCUACUGAAGUAACACAAUACCUCAGUGGCAGCCGUAGACGCCCGUAGUUGGUGCAGGUGAGCGCGGUGCCGGGCUGGCUGCUCCUACAAGCCAGGGUGCGUCAACUCAACCACUAGUUCUUGUCCAGCGGUGGCGGUAUGAACAACGUAGUGCUGGCAGUGACAAUACUCGGCCAGUGAGUGACAGCCAGAAAACUGAUUGCAGAAGAAUGAUAACAUCAGAGAAGUUUUUGUUGAUAAAAAGGCAGAUCAUGAGGUGACGGGUCAAUGCAGUGGUACAUAAAGCAGAGGUCGCGCUGGAAUUAUCGAAGUGGGGUCAGUGUCGUUCUCUCACAAAAUCACCGUCGAAGUUCUUGAGUCCGGAGCCCAGCAAAGACUACCUUCACCCUGAACCAUCUGCAGGUUGUGGUGGUGAAGGUGACGCUGGCCUGGUGCCGUGACGGUCUCCCCCCUCAAACGAAGACAGGGAGAAGGUGACCCCCCUCUUACUCAUCCUGUACAGCCUCUAUAAGCGAAGGAAAAUGGUAUUGCAUUCCUGUUUUUCUCAUACAACAAAGAAUUAGACUAAAUAGUAAAGCUCACGAAGAUGUGGAAUAUGUACAACCGUGCUCGAGACGACUCAGAGAAGUGUCAUGGUGUCAGUGUCAGCUGAGACGUCAUCCAGGCUGACGUCAUUGUCAGCUGUGACUUCAUCCAGACUGACUUCAUCAUCAAAUUGUGUCUCAUCCUGGCUGACGUCACCUCCAACCGGUAUCUCACCCAAGCUGAAUAUAAUAUACCUGACUUCCCUCUUGUUGGUGGCCUGCCUCCCGCAUGCAGGUGGUGUCGGAGGUUUCCAGAGGUUCUUGGAGGUGCCCAGGAGUGUGGAGGUGGGGGAGGGGGACGACGUGACGCUGCCUUGUGUGGUGGAGAACCAGCAGGGGCUAGCACAGUGGACCAAGGACGGCUUC